rnacentral:piRNA from 1 species
UAAAUCCACUUUGGGAGUGAGGGUCCUC